UGGCGGACGGGUGAGUAAUGCUUGGGAAUCUGUCUUAUGGAGGGGGAUAACGACGGGAAACUGUCGCUAAUACCGCGUAGAGUCGGGAGACGAAAGUGCGGGACUUUAUGGCCGCAUGCCAUGAGAUGAGCCCAAGUGUGAUUAGGUAGUUGGUGGGGUAAAGGCCUACCAAGCCGACGAUCGCUAGCUGGUCUGAGAGGAUGGCCAGCCACACCGGGACUGAGACACGGCCCGG
rnacentral:rRNA from 1 species